rnacentral:rRNA from 1 species
GUAGGUGGCAAGCGUUGUCCGGAAUUAUUGGGCGUAAAGCGCGCGCAGGCGGUUCUUUAAGUCUGAUGUGAAAGCCCACGGCUCAACCGUGGAGGGUCAUUGGAAACUGGAGAACUUGAGUACAGAAGAGGAAAGCGGAAUUCCACGUGUAGCGGUGAAAUGCGUAGAGAUGUGGAGGAACACCAGUGGCGAAGGCGGCUUUCUGGUCUGUAACUGACGCUGAGGCGCGAAAAGCGUGGGGAGCAAACAGGAUUAGAUACCCUGGUAGUCCACGCCGUAAACGAUGAGUGCUAAGUGUUAGGGGGGUUUCCGCCCCCCUUAGUGCUGCAGCUAACGCAUUAAGCACUCCGCCUGGGAGUACGGCCGCAAGGCUG